rnacentral:rRNA from 1 species
UACGGGGGGGGCAAGCGUUGUUCGGAAUUACUGGGCGUAAAGGGCUCGUAGGUGGCCAACUAAGUCGGACGUGAAAUCCUUCAGCUUAACUGGGGAACUGCGUCCGAUACUGCUGUGGCUCGAAUCUGGUAGGGGAGCACGGAAUUCCUGGUGUAGCGGUGAAAUGCGCAGAUAUCAGGAGGAACACCGGCGGCGAAGGCGGUGCUCUGGGCCAGUAUUGACGCUGAGGAGCGAAGGUCAGGGGAGCAAACGGG